UCAAGUUCUUAUUCUCACAAGGAGGAUAUCAUGAUAAUUUACAAAAGGAGAGGCGGAAGUGAUAAACUUCUAUCCCAUAGUGACUGGUUACGCACUGUUCAAUUUGAGCCUGAUGUAAUCUCAAUGUCCUUUAUUCCAAUUACCUCUCUAUUGAAUGGAGUCCCAGGGAAUGGAUUCUUGAGCCACGCCGUAAAUCUAUAUCUACGAUAUAAGCCCCCAAUUGAAGAGCUACACCAGUUUUUGGAAUUUCAGCUGCCAAGGCAAUGGGCACCAGUGUUUAGUGAACUUCCCCUUGGGCCACAACGGAAGCAGCACAGUACAGCAUCUUUACAAUUUAGUCUCAUAGGCCCUAAGCUUUUUGUAAACACCAGUCCAGUUGAUGUUGGUAAGAGGCCAGUGACUGGUCUUCGGCUUUAUCUAGAAGGCAAACGAAGCAAUCGCUUGGCCAUUCACUUGCAGCACCUUUCAUCUCUUCCGAAAAUCUUCCAACUCGCAGAUGAUCCACAUGGUAAUUUCCGUCAGGAUUCCUAUGAUCAUAAAUACUAUGAGAAAGUACAAUGGAAGAAUUUCUCUCAUGUCUGUACUGCUCCUGUUGAGUCUGAUGAGGA
rnacentral:misc_RNA from 1 species